rnacentral:lncRNA from 1 species
CCUUCAUCUCCAUUUUCCUUCAUCUUUAAUCUCCUCAUUCUUCUCCUUCACGUUGCUUACAGAACGUCUUCCUGAUGUUCAUCUUCUCCUUCUAAUUCAACUCCUGUAAUCCAUCUGGUGGUUCACUCUAUCAACAAACCCUAAUGAAUCCACCCAUAAAUAAUAUGCCAAUCAAUCCGUUCUUUAAUUUCUUCACUCCUUUUUCAAACCCUAAAAACUCUGGUGGCACAUACCUGCACCAUGAUUCUUUCUAACCCUAACGAAGGCAAGAAACAGAUCCAACAAUGGAGAAGUACACUAUACGAUAGCAUUUCCGUGGCACUUCAACCGCCUCUUCCUCUCACUGUCAUGGUCGUCAUCUCUCCUAUAGACACCAUUGAAUCGAGGAUUUGUUACGGCGGAGGUAGCGUGUUGUGGGCAUGAACAAUACAAUGAAAUUGGAGUAUCCAAAUCGGUUUGAAUUUGUGUCCAAGCAGAGAUAUAUACGCGUUCUGGGAUCCUUUUUACAUUGUUGUCGAAUUAGAUAUCUCAUCAUUGAAGAAAAGUUCAAGUGAACCUAUAUUCAAGCGACCGCGCGCGUCUCCAAACACCAUCGCCAUUACCGAAAUUUAAGAAGGGACUCGAUUUACUAAGAGAAAUGUUUUGGCAAUUCGAAGGAUAUGCAUUUUAAAGGGAUUCGACUGUCUUUAAUUGUAUUUCCACUUUGUCACUAAUUCAUGCAACAUACCACUUUGUAUUUUUUUUAUUUGCAUACUUAAUAUUUACCUAAUUAAUUUUUCCCAGCCCGGGAAGCAAUCCCGGGUGAUAACCUAGUGUAUCAUAUAUAUAUACAUAUUAAUAAUAUAAAAUAAAUUAUAUCGGGUAUAUAAUAGGGUAAACGG